CACUUAGCAAAAUUUCGCUGUUACUUUCCAUUAGCAAAAAUAUUUUUUUACUGUUGAGUUAGCAAAAAGCUAAAUUUACUUGAUUUUAGUAAUGAAAAAGGUCAUUUUACUUGAUUUUAGUAAAACGAAGGUUUCGCAGCCGCUAUGUUCACAGACUCCAGCCGCCGCGCCAGUAGGGAGAAAAUUAAAAAGCUGUCGCGAUUAAGUGCGGUUCCGGAUGUUCGUUGCUGGUGGUUUUUGUUGGUAAGCAACUUCACGGAGAAACGGUAGCUAAAUCGACACCGGAUGCUUACAGGUUGAAAGUGCAACACGAAACCCGUAACAGUCCGGCAAUGAAGAAGGACCACAACUGGAACUGCAACGAGCUGCAUCCGGAAAACACCCCGGUGCUUUCUUUAAUGAAGAUGGCAUGGCAUUUUGCUCGCCAGUAGGUGCGUUCCCAGCACACAAAACUUUCGGGGCUCCACUUAGCAAAAUUUCGCUGUUACUUUCCGUUAGCAAAAAUAUUUUUUUACUGUUGAGUUAGCAAAAAGCUAAAUUUACUUGAUUUUAGCAAUUAGAAAGUUCAUUUUGCUUGACUUUAGCAAAACAAAGGUUUUCUAGCCGCUUUGUGCACAGACAACAGCCGCCGCGGGUUUUUCAGAAAAAUAACAAACAGACAUGAUUGUGCGCGGUUCCGAAAGUUCGAUGCUAAUGGUUCUAGUGGUGGCUAAGUCAACAACAAAAUACUAACCAAAUCGACACCGGAUGCGUACAGGUUACAACUGCAACACAAAACCCCCAUCAGGCCAGAAAUAAAGGGGACCACAGCUGGAAUUUCAACGAGCUGGAUCCGGCACACACUCUGGUGCAUUCGUCGAUGAAGAUGUCUUGAAGUUUCGCCCGCUGGAACCGGAAUUUCCGUUGAUCGAACGUGAAAUUAAAUUAAAAAAAAAAAUUAAAAAUAAAUUGAAAGUGAAGUAAAUUUGUGAAUUCUAUUUCAUAAUCAAACGUUCUCCCUGAUUCUCCAGAGAAAAAACAAUAAAUUUUGAAAUUUCAGAUCCGGGCGAUCUUUUCUUCCGGUUUUUGCUAAAAAAUUGAGUAAAAAUUGCGGCGGCUAUCUUUUUUUCUCGUUUGCUAAAAUUAUAGUUAAAAAAUAUUGCUAAUUUUUUUGCUAAGUUUCUAGCUGGUCAAAUUUGAGCAAAUUUUUGCUAAAUUCUGGCCUCGAAAAUUUUGUGUGAGGAUCGAACCUUCCGUUUAACGAAA